rnacentral:rRNA from 1 species
CAGCAGCCGCGGUAACACGUAGGUGGCAAGCGUUGUCCGGAAUUAUUGGGCGUAAAGCGCGCGCAAGUGGUUUCUUAAGUCUGAUGUGAAAGCCCACGGCUCAACCGUGGAGGGUCAUUGGAAACUGGGAGACUUGAGUGCAGAAGAGGAGAGUGGAAUUCCACGUGUAGCGGUGAAAUGCGUAGAGAUGUGGAGGAACACCAGUGGCGAAGGCGACUCUCUGGUCUGUAACUGACGCUGAGGAGCGAAAGCGUGGGGAGCGAACAGGAUUAGAUACCCGAGUAGUCCCUGUCUCUUAUAA